AACGAACGCUGGCGGCAGGCCUAACACAUGCAAGUCGAACGCCCCGCAAGGGGAGUGGCAGACGGGUGAGUAACACGUGGGAACGUGCCCAAAGGUUCGGAAUAUUCCCGGGAAACUGGGAGCAAUACCGAAUGUGUCCGCAAGGAGAAAGAUUUAUCGCCUUUGGAUCGGCCCGCGUCGGAUUAGCUAGUUGGUGGGGUAAAAGCCUACCAAGGCGCCGAUCCGUAGCUGGUUUGAGAGAACGACCCGCCACACUGGGACUGAGACACGGCCCAGACUCCUACGGGAGGCAGCAGUGGGGAAUCUUGGACAAUGGGCGCAAGCCUGAUCCAGCCAUGCCGCGUGGAUGAUGAAGGCCCUAGGGUUGUAAAAUCCUUUCGUUGGGGACGAUAAUGACGGUACCCAAAGAAGAAGCUCCGGCUAAGUUCGUGCCAGCAGCCGCCGUAAAAC
rnacentral:rRNA from 1 species